GACGAACGCUGGCGGCGUGCUUAACACAUGCAAGUCGAACGGAAAGGCCUGCUUUCCCUUGUGGAUUGCGGGUACUCGAGUGGCGAACGGGUGAGUAACACGUGAGUGAUCUGCCCCCAACUUGGGUAUAAGCCUGGGAAACUGGGUCUAAUUCCCGAUAGGACUGCAGGGUGGUGCCUGUGGUGGAAAACGAUUUUCUAGUGGUUGGGGAUGAGCUCGCGGCCUAUCAGCUUGUUGGUGGGGUAAUGGCCUACCAAGGCGGCGACGGGUAGCCGGCCUGAGAGGGUGGACGGCCACAUUGGGACUGAGACACGGCCCAGACGCCUACGGGAGGCAGCAGUGGGGAAUAUUGCACAAUGGGCGGAAGCCUGAUGCAGCGACGCCGCGUGGGGGAUGACGGCCUUCGGGUUGUAAACUCCUUGCGACCGCGAGGAAGCCACCUGGUUGGAAGGGUGGUGACGGUAGUGGUAGAAGAAGCACCGGCUAACUACGUG
rnacentral:rRNA from 1 species